AGUGAACGCUGGCGGCGUGCUUAACACAUGCAAGUCGAACGAGAACGGAAUAUAGCUUGCUAUAUUUGUCAGCUAAGUGGCGCACGGGUGAGUAAUGUAUAGAUAACCUGCCCUUAAGAAAGGAAUAACAGUUGGAAACGACUGCUAAUGCCCUAUAUGCCUUUAAUACAUAAGUAUGCAAGGGAAACGCUUUAGUGCUUAAGGAUGGGUCUGUAUGGUAUCAGCUUGUUGGUGAGGUAAUGGCUCACCAAGGCUAUGACGCCUAACUGGUUUGAGAGGAUGAUCAGUCACACUGGAACUGAGACACGGUCCAGACUCCUACGGGAGGCAGCAGUGGGGAAUAUUGCACAAUGGACGAAAGUCUGAUGCAGCAACGCCGCGUGGAGGAUGACACAUUUCGGUGCGUAAACUCCUUUUAUAUAAGAAGAUAAUGACGGUAUUAUAUGAAUAAGCACCGGCUAACUCCGUGCCAGCAGCCGCAGUAACAC
rnacentral:rRNA from 1 species